GUGGAAUUUGUUGUGAUCUAGCAUAUUCGGGAGUCCGAACAAAGGGAUCUUUCUUAUCAAAAGCUAAGUGCCAUUUUUCUUAUUAGUGUAUGUUUAGAUUUCCCUUAGAAAUAGAUUUUGUCUAAAUUUGGUAUGUUAGCCUGAGUAAAUUCAGGUGGUGCUGAAGCCUUAAACCCGUUCGGGGAAGAAGACAUAAUUUAGAUGAAAAGCUAUAUUAUACGUUUAGGAUUGUAAUUUGUUUUGUUUGUGUAAACGUCAUAUCCGUUGUUGCCUAGUUACUUCGUGACGUUAUCAUUGUGUGCCAUAUUGUCAUAUCCCAACCCAUAGCGAUAGUCUCAUUUAAUUAUUUCAUUUGUGUAUAUUAUUUUAAAUUAUUUAUUUUUAUUAAUUUAAUUAGAUCUGUAAUUUUUUUUCACUUAAUGAUAGAAAGUGCGGGUAGGAUUCUUUUACUGUGAAUCAGACUAAAAUAAUUUUAGUUUGAGCGGUUAAAAUAAAAUAUGAUUUUGCCAUGAGAAUAAUGCCGAAACUGGCUAUGUAGUCAAACACUGUCGUCUGGCUAAAUAUAGAUCUACAAAUUUUGUACAUCUCUUUGGUACAUUAAAUCAUCUAGACUCUAAUUUGAGAAUAUUAUUAAUUAAAAGAUGAAUGAAGAUUACUGCCAGUGAAGAACACUUGUGACGUGUGACGUGCCCAUAGGAUGCCACAUUUUCUUUUAUCAUGAACUGUGUACUAAUGAAGAUGAUUCUGGAAUGUUAUGAACAUUGACAUUGAAUAUGAGGAACUAUCAAGUCAAGAUGAAGAUGUCAAGAUUUUAUGUUUGUUGUCUUCCCCUUAAAUUGAAAAUGCCCUUGUAAGACUUGACAGUAGUGGAAAAAUAUUGACAUAUUUUUUUUUCAAGGGGGGGAGGAAUCUGUUAGACACCUUAUUUAUAUAGGUUAGUUAUUUAGCGACGCACCAUAGAAGACGCAUAUUGAACGGGACUAGUGACGUUUGGGAUAUGUUGGGUUAGAGACCGGAAAAUCAGUUAGCAAUAGAAUACUCCAGGGUAACGACGUGUUUAGUGACAGAGACUUCUACUGUGGCCUUUUAUCAGAAUAAAUCUAUGUGAACUUGUU